rnacentral:lncRNA from 1 species
AAAGUUAAUGUAUAAACACAUUUACAAAGCUUUAUGCAACUCCAAGAUAAAGUUAUUAUAUUAAACAUUAUAUUUAAAGAUGUAAGGUUUAUGGCAAGUUUAAGUCCCAUGAUUGAUGACAGAAACUGAAUCAGAGGCCUUAGAGAAAUAGAAUUUAAGACACACCUAUUCCUACCAAACCUUAUUUAAAUAAAGAAAACGGUACAGUAACAACCCAAGAAAUCAAUUUCCUUUCCAGGUUUCAUAAUUAAUCUUCAUUUGUAAAUCCUGUUUGUCCUCAGAUUUUCUCUUUACAGUUCCUAAAAACAUUCAAUUCACCAAAAAUGAAAAAUUAAUUUAGGAAGAAACUCUAACUUAAGAAAAAACUUGCAGCUCAAACAACAGGUGAAAGCACACAAAUAUAGAAACUGUUUUUGAAGAAGUUGGGGAUGUUAACCUUUUAGUUCAAGAUGGGGGGUUGUUCCAGAGUGAAGGAAGGUGAGAUGCCUCCCGUUCUCAUGAGCUAAUGAUUGUUUCCAAACUGGUUAGAAUUCAGUGCUAAUUGCAUUUUAAAACACCACCUCUGAAAUCCUUUUCUCUCUCAGGAUCUUGCAUCAAUGUUUCACAUUUUCAAUGCAACCUUUGCACUUCACCUUUCUCACUCAACAAAUUCUGAAUGUCAGAUCUACGGGAAGAACUCAGUUCAGAUCCUUCCUCUCCCCAGCAGGUUUUGAUCUGGUGAUGGUGAUGUCAAUUCCUAGGAAAGGCUGUCCUGCCCUGGUUCUGAGGGGAGAGAGACAAUUAAAAUCGGUACUUUGGUGACUCUACUCAGGCUUGUCCAUUCUAACAGGGAGUCAUUAAACAACUUUCCAGUGUCAUUCAAAGAACUUAUAACAGAAUCAAUUGAUUUUCAUCCUCUGCUUUAUUAGUUGUGAUUUAGGAAAUAGAAUGGCCCUGUUUACACAGCUGUAACAUGUCAGGGCCUGUAGUACAUUAUUGGCUUGAGGUAAGUUGCAAGUUCACCUUCCAAAAAUCAGCCCUGACUUGUCAUUGCUCUCAGCAUGUUCACGAUGGGAGCAGAGGGCUACAAAUGCCUCUUUAACUAGGUACCCAGCAUCGGCGAAUGUGCUACACUUUGCUGCUAGUCAGAUCUCAGACUCUGCAAGUGGGAGUAGCUGGCUGUUUAACAUGCGUUCAGAGCACUGCCAAUCUAAAAUGGCUGCUCAGUAAUACUUUAAUUGCAGUUUCAUGGAAACAAAUUGCUAUUUAACUGCAAUAAGCACUUCUGUGACUUGGCUGCACUAACAAUAGGUGAGUCUUAGUAACAAAGCUAUAAGUAACAUUAACUUGUAAAUGGCCUUUUUCCAAUGGCCUCUUGAAGGGGUCAUAGGUGGGACAGCACCCAGGAUAGAAUUCCCUGGUGAAGGGUGAAGGGGUCUUUGGGGUGAAGGGUGAUGGGGUUUUUGGAUCUCCUCAAUUUAAAUACAAUUAGUUAGGCUACAUGGGAACUCUUCACUAGACUCCAUAUGUAGCUCUUGGGUUCACUGUUUAUUAUAUGAUUUAUGGGCCCUAAGAAAUAUUUUAUAUAAAUAGUAGUGCACAUUAGAAUCUUACUAUAUUGACAUUUAAAGCCCUUUAAGAGCUUCCUUUUAGAUGAUUAGUUGUUUCAAAUAUCAGUGUUAAUAAGGGCAAAAGAAAGAAUUUAAAUACAGGUAAUAUUAAGAGGAUGACAAUUUCACAGACUUCAUUUUGGUGUGUCAGUUUUCUCGUUUUGUAUUUUAUAAGACACUACAGUCCGGGUUAAACUAUUUCCUAAUAAAUCAUGAAGAGCUGAAAAUAGUUUCUAGUGGCAAACGAUUUGGUUUGGAAAAGCUUCAGGCUCCCCUGCCUUGCGGGAUGUGUAAAUCUAAUUAGACAGUUAGAUAGGUAAAAAACAUUAAACCCUUUUAGAGGACUAUCUUUUUACAAAAUUGUUUCAUUAACAAGAGUGACAAUUUGCAUGAUUGAGACAUUUAUAUGUACCAUAAACAUAAUUUUUUUUAUCAGGAGUUCAGCAGGGCUCAGUAACAUUUGCUUUUAUUUUUAAUUGCACUUGCUUGUAGGGACUGGGGGCCAUCUUGCUCUAUGACGUGGUUAAUAUUAAAUAAGUCCUUUCUAAAGAACAGUGUCCAUCUUGCUAACUAAUAACAUCACAAAUGCAAUGGAUGAAAGGUGGAAUAAACUCAUAGAUUUUUUUUUUUCCUAAGCAAUGUUGAGAUUGGGGGAGGAACUGCACACAAUCGCUGCUCACAUCAGAAUAAACCUGAGUGUUUUUAGUAGCUUUCUAUCCACACAGAGCAUCCCCAUUAGAGCCGGGUUUUAUUGUUUGAAAUGCCUCUGGUUUCAAGAAAGUGUUUUACCUAAACUCAUUAUUAAAUACGCAGCAGUGCUUGAGGAACCAGCCAUAUAAUAGUUUAUUUAAAGUCCGUAAUGACCUUAGCCCUCCACAUCAUUAAAUGCGACAAUAUAUUAUUUACUAAAGUUAUUAACCACCUCCUUUGAAUUUGUACAUAUCAGGGACAAAAGACUUACUGUGAUAUAGAAGUGUAACGAAAUGC